UAAGGAAUAUUGGUCAAUGGACGCAAGUCUGAACCAGCCAUGCCGCGUGAAGGAUUAAGGCCCUCUGGGUUGUAAACUUCUUUUAUAGGGGAAGAAAUGUGACGGUUCUCCGUCACUUGACGGUACCCUGGGAAUAAGCACCGGCUAACUCCGUGCCAGCAGCCGCGGUAAUACGGAGGGUGCAAGCGUUAUCCGGAUUCACUGGGUUUAAAGGGUGCGUAGGUGGGCAGAUAAGUCAGUGGUGAAAUCUUCCGGCUUAACCGGGAAACUGCCGUUGAUACUAUUUGUCUUGAAUUAUCUGGAGGUAAGCGGAAUAUGUCAUGUAGCGGUGAAAUGCUUAGGUAUGACAGAGAACACCAAUUGCGAAGGCAGCUUACUACAUAUAAAUUGACGCUUAGGCACGAAAGCGUGGGGAUCAAACA
rnacentral:rRNA from 1 species